rnacentral:snRNA from 1 species
GAUUUUCUCGAGGUCCAAAAUUCAAACGACACAGAGAAGAUUGAUUCGCAUGGCUCGUGCAUGAAGGAUGACGUGAGCGAUCAGAGACGAGUUUCCAUUUCUG